rnacentral:ncRNA from 1 species
CCCUUUUGAGCUUGACUCUAAUCUGGCAGUGUAAGGAGACAUAAGAGGUGUAGAAUAAGUGGGAGAUAUUAUUCUUUGUGUUUGAUAUCGCCAAUGAAAUACCACUACUCUUAUUGUUUCCUUACUUACGUGAUUAAAUGGAACGUGUAUCAUUUCCUAGCCAUUAUACGGAUAUAUUUAUUAUAUCUUAUGGUAUUGGGUUUUGAUGCAAGCUUCUUGAUCAAAGUAUCACGAGUUUGUUAUAUAAUCGCAAACAAAUUCUUUAAUGAGAGAGUGCUUUUAUGUAUUUUUAAUUUGAAAUAUUUGGUAUAACUCCAAUUACUCAGGUAUGAUCCAAUUCAAGGACAUUGCCAGGUAGGGAGUUUGACUGGGGCGGUACAUCUCUCAAAUAAUAACGGAGGUGUCCCAAGGCCAGCUCAGUGCGGACAGAAACCACACAUAGAGCAAAAGGGCAAAUGCUGACUUGAUCUCGGUGUUCAGUACACACAGGGACAGCAAAAGCUCGGCCUAUCGAUCCUUUUGGUUUAAAGAGUUUUUAACAAGAGGUGUCAGAAAAGUUACCAUAGGGAUAACUGGCUUGUGGCGGCCAAGCGUUCAUAGCGACGUUGCUUUUUGAUCCUUCGAUGUCGGCUCUUCCUAUCAUUGUGAAGCAAAGUUCACCAAGCGUUGGAUUGUUCACCCAUGCAAGGGAACGUGAGCUGGGUUUAGACCGUCGUGAGACAGGUUAGUUUUACCCUACUAAUGACAAAACGUUGUUGCGACAGCAUUCCUGCGUAGUACGAGAGGAACCGCAGGUACGGACCAAUGGCACAAUACUUGUUCGAGCGAACAGUGGUAUGACGCUACGUCCGUUGGAUUAUGCCUGAACGCCUCUAGUUUUAGUUGGAAAUUAGUCGUCUUUGCUGCUUCGCGUCGUUUCGUCUUUCGUCUUUUUGCAACCGAUUUCGCUCGUCUCUUCGGUUCGACUGCCCGACUUUCGCUCGUCUUUAGCUCAAUUCGCCCCGCUCAGCAGAGUUGCCAGACCCAAUCCCACAACUCGGCCAUCCUAGUAUGCAUUCGCCUCGAAUGCAUCCUGGUCGUCUAUGUCACAGGGAACCCACGGCUUCAUAUAGGCAGCGCAAGUCGUAGUUCGCCUAGGACC